AGGUUUUUUUCGAGCCAAUAUAUGUACAUAUUUAGAAAAUUUUAUCAAACAAGUCAGCUUUUCAUUAAAAAUCUGUUAAAAAUACAAAUUUGAAACUAUUUUUUUUCCUGCGUUUAUUAACUGGAUUUAUCCAUUUACUAUCGAAAUAGUUUUUGUUUAUUGAUUUUGGAUGAACCAGUAAAGUGUUAUGCUUUCGACAGCAAGCGCUUUGUUUGGACACGUCUUGGGAGAUAAGGCACCAACGGCAAACCUCAAAAUCUUUUAGUAUGUAAAAAUACUUCUUUUAAGUUGAACUAGAGGGCAUAAUCAAUCAAAAUACUAUUGUGAAAACUAUGAAUCCUCAAAGUACAUGGAGCCGAUUUAAGUACUUUGGAUGAACUAAGAGUGCAUAGGUAAAACUACCGGCAUAACCAUUAUGUAACGGUAUUGAAACCUUCGAAGUACGCGCAAAAUAUGAACAACUUAUCACAAAUCAAUGAAGAAGAUGGGUACAUAAUUGAAAUUGAUUUCGGAAUACUUUCUAAUUCCGAUCAACUGAAUUCUCAGGAUCUUAUACCCAGUGGCUUGAACCUCAAGGGAAUGGUAGCUGGACGGAAAAUUAGCGAUAAUGAAAGUGUAUUCGGUGAUACUGAGUUCUAUAAUAUUUUAAUGCAAACCUAAAUAAAUCACCUAAAUAUUAAUCAAAAAUUAAGAGAUCACUGCCGGACUUGGUAAAUUGCCAUUGAAGGUUUGUUUUUUUUUUUUGUCUCAAAAAAAUCUACACGAAUUUAUUUAAGGCGAUUUAGUGAUUUAUACGAUUCUUCAAGGUUACAGACGACAUCGAAUGGUUAGUGCGCUCUAAAUUACAUUUAUAAGAGCAAAAUAAACAUUAAAUUGAGAGUAACGGAUAGUUCAAAGACACAUAAACGAGUACUUUCUUGUACGAAAUUUAACUUUGUUGUUGCUUUCAUAUUUAAAUUGUAAUAAAAUAUAUGCCAACGAACCAGAACUAGUAUUUAUCCCCCUGUAUAUAAAUUAACUAACCUAAAAGAAUACUAACAAAUACUCAAAGGAACUACUUAGUCAUAUCUAAAUUAACAUAAUGCAUUAAAAAAAUACUUCUUUUAAAUUGAAAUAUAAAAUAUAAUCGAUCAAUA